AGAUUCACUGAACUGUAAACAGAAAAAAAGCAAAAGUUAAUAAACAACCCAGUGACACAUGACCAGAGGAUGUUGUAUCGUAUGUGAAUUAUGGAGAGUGAAAAGUCUGAAGUAGAAGUAAAUUUGAUGAAACCAGAAAAUGUAAAUCAAUCUGGAAAAGAAAAAAAUAAAGAACUAACUAGUGAGAAUGAUUUAUACAAAAAUGAAAUAAGUACUGGGUUGAAGUCAGAAGACAGUUUAAAGUUGAACAGAGAGGACAUUGGGAAAAAAGUUGCCCAGCUCAAAGAGGUUUCGAAGUUAGAAAACCAACUUGAUCUUAAAAGGAUUGGUACCAAGAAUAAUGAACAUGAAAUAAAAAGUCAUCACAAUUUAGAAAAGAGAACCAGGAAAAAAAGUGAAGAUGUGCUACCAGACGCUCCUUCUCUGUUGCAACCUUUUGGUGGUGUGGAAGAUGAAGACAUGACAGUAAAGAAUGCAGAUCCAUUGGAUAAUCAAAAUGAAGAUACUUUAGUAACAUUAAGAAAAUGCACAGAGAGUACAGAAAUAAGUGUUAAUAUACCUAAAAAAGAGGAUGGACCAAUGCCUGUUGAAGAUGCAGAGAUCUUGGAAAAUUUAGAUAGCAGUAAACAAACAGAUGUUGCUAAAGAAUGCAAUCAUGGCACAAUAUGGCAUCCCCUUCUUGCGUCAGAAAAUGAAGAGGCAGCUACAGAAAAGGAAAUAAAAAAGGAAGUUGUCAAAAAAACAGAUGGCAAUGGUAGUGGUGGAGAGACAAUUGACAUUAGAAGAAAGGAACUAGAAGAGAACUCUAAAACACCAUCACCAGAUGGUGAUGUCAAAGACCAGGAACCAGAAGGCGCUUUCUCGGCAGAUACAAAAGAUGUAGAAAAAAAAAAGAAAGAGAAAACACCUCUUGUUGAGUUGGCAGAGAAAGGUAUGGGAAUUUCGGACAUCUUGACAGAAACUGGAGUGUUUGCGUACAUAUCCUUGGUAGCUAUUGCCUUGGCGACUACAUUUGACAGUCACUGGCACAAGAAUUGGAAAGAUUCUUACAUAAAGUUAUUAUGCAAACACUUAAAAACAAAGAGAGGAAUCGAAAAGACUAUGCUACAGUUCCUCCGUGAAGAUCUAAAACCAUUACACGCUCACGCCUACGUGGAAGUACUGAAAGAUGAUGGGAUGAUCCAAGACAAUCCCAGCAUUAUUGCACAGGACCUUCUUGGUAUCACCAUGGAAACAGGAGAUUAUGAUGCAAGGUCAAGGGUUAUCAUCUACCAUAUUGCCAAGCUGAUGGAAGUGCCAAGGACGGAUGUCAUCAGCUUUGAAGACAUGAUUGUGGAGAGUUUUGUGCAAGAGGAAGUGAUAGAAUCCGAAGAGCAGAAAUCAGAGAAAGCAAAGCGCUCAAGACAGACCAAGGUGAAGAGAUACCUAGCUAUUGGAGCAGCAACUCUAGGGGGCGGUGCACUCAUUGGCCUAACUGGGGGUCUUGCUGCUCCCCUAGUUGCUUCAGCUGGAGUGGCAUUGUUUGGCUCUGGUGCAGCUUUCCUCGGCACCACAGCUGGCCUAGCCAUUAUGGCAUCAAUGUUCGGUGCUGCUGGUGCAGGCCUUGGCGGUUACAAAAUGAAGCGAAGAGUUGGUGCCAUCGAAGAGUUUGAGUUUACCUCGCUGGGGAAAGAGAAAGAUCUACAUGUGGUCGUGGCAGUAUCUGGCUGGCUAACCAAAGAUAGAUUAGACAACUUUACCGUGCCAUGGCUAGCCCUCGCGGAGUCCAAGGAGCAGUACACACUUAAGUGGGAGUCUAAGUACCUAAAGAACCUUGGCGAUGGACUGGAGUACAUCAUGGACAGCGUGAUGACGAUGGCAGCGAAAGAAGCACUGAAGUACACUGUACUGGCGGGUCUGUUGGCGGCCAUUACUCUACCAGCUGCAGCUUAUGGCGCCCUCUCAGCAAUCGAUAACCCUUGGAGUAUUGUCACAAGAAGAUCAGUUGAAACGGGAAAAGAAUUGGCCGAAGUUCUUCUUACAAGACUACAGGGUAAACGUCCUGUUACCCUUAUUGGCUUCAGUAUGGGUGCAAGGGUGAUUUUCUCUGCCCUACAGGAAUUGGCAGUUCGUAAAGGCUCUGAAGGAAUUGUAGAGGAUGUUGUUUUGCUAGGAGCUCCAAUUACAUCAUCUGUGAAGGCAUGGCAACCGCUUGAAAGAGUUGUAUCUGGUAGGAUCAUUAAUGGCUACUGCAGAGGUGACUGGCUCCUGCAGUUUGUAUACAGAACGGCAUCUGUGCAAGUGACCAAUAUUGCUGGCCUAGGACCAGUAAACUGGGACAAUAAGCUGGUGGAAAACAUUGAUUUAACAGAUAUAGUGGGUGGUCAUCUUGAUUAUUCAGAGAAAAUUGAUGAGAUUCUUAAACACAUUGGACUCAAAACAAGACCUCGAAGCACGUCUCCUCUGUUACGGGAAACAGGGGGUGCAAUCGAAACUAAAGAAGACUCUAUCAAAGUUGAUGUCUGUGAUCUCCUUCUACCGCAGUCUCAGACGGUCACAGAAAUGAUGGCAGGGGUUCCCCGCAGUGGAUCUGCCAACAGCUUCUUAAACGAUUCUGACAAGAAAUCCGGAACUGGAUCCGAGAUUUGUAAAUCAGCAAGUUUCCCUCAUAUCACGAAUUACAAUGCGCAUUCAAGUGAAAGCCAGAGGGUGCGACCAUCAGAAGGCAGCAGCAAUGUGCAGAACAGUGAAACUUCAGAGGAUGUGGAGUGUGGCCAUGAUCCAAUGAUGCAGUUGUGAUGAUAAAACUUUGUAAUGUGUAAUUUUAUAAUGACAAUUUGGAAAUGGUUGAUUAUAAACACUGUACACCAUAGGCAAAUCCAAGGGUGGGCCCAAUAAAUAAAAAUGGAAAUGGGAGUGCUAUAGACAUAAAAUCUCAUAUCUUAGCCCCAACCAUGAUGGGGCUGAGGUGGUCUGGACAUUCCAUAUCUAAAAUUGACCUUUCUGGGCCCCUCUAUUUUGAAUUCCUGCAUCUUCCACUGUAAAUGCAUUCUGGGGCACAGUAGGAAAUAAUGAUAUACAGUAGAACCUCGUUUUUACGUACCCCAGUUAUACGAACCCUCGGUUUUACGUACGCCUCGUAUCGACGAUGACAUCAAAAAACACGAAAAUAGUCAAAACAAACAGCCCUUUUCAGAGCAACCAUAAGUAAAAAGACUUUAACAAUAAACUAUAACAAUAAACAAACCAUAAUGCAACAUAUUUCCAUUAAACAGCAAUGUUGAUGGAGUCUAAUACCGGGUUGUUAUAAUCUGGAUGAACAACUACAGAUGGUGCUCAAAAUAAUUGCUUUCCUCCUUAGCUUCGUAUGGCAAACCAUGGGAAAACUUGUCUGGUCGAAUUUUCUACACGAAGCUGGGUAGACAGUUUCGUACACGAACGCUAGUUGGUUGGCUCACCCAGUGGAUUGCACAUGGUUGCUGUUUCACGUACACGAACGCUAAUUGAUUGGCUCGCCCAGUGCAGCGCACAUGGUUUUAGUUUGUCUCAACACGCCUAGACAACACCACAGCUCUGUUGUUUAAAAUAGGCAUG
rnacentral:misc_RNA from 1 species